UUGAGGUGUAUGACUACAAGUUGC
rnacentral:piRNA from 1 species